rnacentral:rRNA from 1 species
AGUGAACGCUGGCGGCGUGCUUAACACAUGCAAGUCGAACGAGUAACGGAUUUAGCUUGCUAAAUUGCAGUCUAAGUGGCGCACGGGUGAGUAAUGUAUAGAUAAUAUGCCUUUUACUAAGGGAUAACAGUUGGAAACGGCUGCUAAUACCUUAUAUGCCGUUAAUACAUAAGUAUGCAAGGGAAAGAUUUAUUGGUAAAAGAUUAGUCUGUAUUGUAUCAGUUAGUUGGUGAGGUAAUGGCUCACCAAGACUAUGACGCAUAACUGGUUUGAGAGGAAGAUCAGUCACACUGGAACUGAGACACGGUCCAGACUCCUACGGGAGGCAGCAGUGGGGAAUAUUGCACAAUGGGGGAAACCCUGAUGCAGCAACGCCGCGUGGAGGAUGACACAUUUCGGUGCGUAAACUCCUUUUAUAUAGGAAGAUAAUGACGGUACUAUAUGAAUAAGCACCGGCUAACUCCGUGCCAGCAGCCGCAGUAA